GGGGAACUUCGGAAAUUUUUUGCCAGACGAAUUUCAGUCCGCCAUUGUCCGUCGCAAAGUGCGUGUUGGAAAUCUUGUGUAAUACAAAAGGAAAGUUUUUCUAAAAGCUCAAGGUGAGAAAAUGUCUGAAAUUAAAACAGAACCAGAGGCACCCUUGCCUCAGAGAAUCCCAAAUCAGGGCAAUCCCGGCAAUCCAAUGCAGCAGAUGAAGGGAAAUCAGGGUGCUGAUGGUCCCGAUGGGCAAAUGAAGAAGCCGCAGCGCCCCUUCCAGCAGGGCGGUAUGAAUAGGAAUAUGCGCGGUGGUGGAGGUAAUCGGGGCUUUGGGGGUCCCAAGAACCAGAUGAAUCGUCAGAAUCGCAACAAUCUGCAACAGCACCAGCAGCAGCAUCAGCGCAAUGACGGUGGAAAUAAGGAUCAGAACAGGGAUGGGGAUGAGCGUAUGCCGCCACAGCAGCAGCAGCAGCAGCAGCAACGUGGUCCUUUCCAGAGGCCCAAGAAUGAGGACUACGCAAUUCAGCAGCGUUUGAAGCACCUCAUGGGCCCCAUUCACGACAUCCCACCGCUCGAUCUGUCAGAGAUCAAGUUCUGCGGCCGGAAUCGGCUGUACAUUGGUAAUCUGACCAAUGACGUCAGUGAGGAAGAGCUGAGGCAGCUCUUUGCUCCUUACGGAGAGAUCGGGGAGGUCUUCUUGAAUCCAGAGAAGAACUUUGCAUUCAUCAAAGUGGAUUACCAUGCUAAUGCUGAGCGUGCAAAGAGGGAAUUGGAUGGGACAGCUCGCAAAGGAAAACAAAUGAGAAUUCGUUUUGCUCCAAAUGGAACAAUUCUCAAAGUGAGAAAUAUUGCUCCAUAUGUCUCCAAUGAACUUCUCUACAAGGCAUUUGAGGUGUUUGGACAGGUUGAGCGUGCCGUUGUAAUUGUCGAUGACCGCGGAAAGCCGUCAGGCGAGGGAAUUGUAGAGUUUUCGCGAAAAUCCAGUGCAAUGACAGCCAUGCGUCUCUGCUCUGAGCGUUGCUAUUUCCUCACAUCCUCACUGCGUCCGACAGUUCUUGAAAUGAUGGAUCACAUUGAUGAAACCGAUGGAUAUCCUGAGAAGUCCAUCAACAAAAAAAUGAAUGAUUUUGUUCAAGCACGUCAAAGGGGACCGCGUUUUGCUGAACCGGGAAGCUUUGAGCAUGAAUACGGAACAAGGUGGAAGCAAUUGUAUGAGAUGUUUAAGCAGAAGCAGGAUGGAUUGAAGAGAGAACUUGCCAUUGAGGAAGAGAAAUUGGAGGCUCAAAUGGAAUUUGCUCGAUAUGAGCAUGAAACUGAGAUGCUGCGUGAACAACUGAGAAUGAGGGAGCAGGAUAGGGAUCGUCAGAAGAAGGAGUGGGAGAUGAAGGAGCGCCAUCAUGAGGAGAUGAGAACCAGAGAAGAAGCACAGAUGCGUCAACAUCAAGAAGAUAUUCAAAUGCGUAUGAUUCGCCAAGAUGAUGAAUUGAGGAAGAGACAGCAGGAAAAUACACUUUUUAUGCAGGCACAACAGUUGAAUUCAUUGCUCGAUCAGCAAGAGCGUAAGAACUUUGAUGAUCGCCGGAAUGGCUUCAACCAACAAGGAGGACCAGGAGAAAUGAAUCAAAUGAACCCGAUGAAUUUUCGGUCGCAUGGGUAAAAAUGCUUCACUAGGAACUUUGAAGGUUUAAUCUUGAGGAUUACAACUCAUGGAUGAGUGAAUUCAAUUACAAACUGCAAAUCAUCAAAUUACAGAAGCUGUCUAUGGAGAAUCUCUGAAACUAAAACCCAAAGGGGCUACAGCAAACAACAUUCCCGGAGGAGAUUAAAUUGAGGAUUCUCAACUCUAGCUGCGCUCAACAAUUUUCUUCAAACAUUGGAAAUGUCGGAGCUGAUAAUGAAUUUCGGAUAGGAAAGUUGAAUGGACUGAGGAUUUUCGACCAAGGCUGAACUCUUCAUGAACCCUAAAUUGAAAAGUUCAGCAAAACGUACCAGAAAUGUACUUUUUUGUGAAGGUUCUUCCGGCUGUUGAUGUGGUUGAUGGGUACCAUCAGGGGAAUAUUCGUAAAGAGUCACACGUGCAUUUGUUCAACACGAUUGUAACCGACUUGCCCUGAAAGAUUCCUUAAGGCGAUCAAGGUUUAUAGCGGCCAAUUGUGUGUCUCUCCUGUUACACGACGGGCAAGAGAACUAUACCGCCGCAGUAAAAGCGAGGGGUACUCAUUGGAGAAACACAAGCCAUUUGGCCGAGAAACGGUUUCAGAAACGAGGAAACAUUACUGGAAACAAGGGAAACAUGCUUGGAAACGGCGAAACGUAGCUGGAAACACAAAAAUGUUUCUGGAAACGCGGAAACACAAAAUCUCGUAAGAAAUUGAAACUUAGAUAGAAACACGGAAACAGGGACAGAAACACAGAAACACGGAUAGAAACAUAACUGCAAACAUGAGAAACAUGCUGGAAACGAGGAAACAAACCUAGAAACGCGAGAAACACAAAUUUCAUAGCGAUAGAAACAGAAACGGAGAAACAUUCCUCGUGUUUCUAGAAACGGGAAACGUAAAGCCUUGCUUGGAGCGAGAGGCGGGAAAUAUGAAUUUCCCGCGAACAGGGAAGGGAAUCUACCAGACGGGCUCUAUUUCGCUAUCAGUUGGAAAAUCUGGACUACACGAAUUAGAAUCUGUCCUAAUGGAUGUCCCUAGAAGAUGCCGGAGAUGGAGGAAACCAAGGAAAGACUUGGAAGACAUGAUUGAAAUACAUUUUUGAUUUGUUCACGCUUUAUUUUAUAAAGAAAAUAAAAUAAUAAAAAAAUUCAUA